CGGAAUUUUGGAUUUUUAGUUUUUUCUGCAUAUAUAUUUUCUGAGCCCUAAUACUUUAUUGUGAGAAUAUUAUUCGUCGCUUCUCGGGAUUUACUAUGGAAAAUACAGUGAAACGUAAUGUGAGAUAUCAAAAAUGUACUAUUUGUGGUCUAAAGAGGACCCCUGGACUGGAGCCAAUGUAUUUUUGAAGAAGUUUCCACUUGAUCCAGAUCGGUUAGUGUAAAUAUUACUAUCCUCUGUGGUGUUAACAAUAGAACAAUACAAUAUUUAAAUAAAUUCUACUUAAAAUCUUU
rnacentral:misc_RNA from 1 species